GUUGUUGGCUCAGUGGUACAGCACUCGCCUGUUAAGUCAGGAUCCGUUGGUUCGAUCACUACCAUAAGA
rnacentral:tRNA from 1 species